rnacentral:rRNA from 1 species
AACGAACGCUGGCGGCAGGCCUAACACAUGCAAGUCGAACGCCCCGCAAGGGGAGUGGCAGACGGGUGAGUAACGCGUGGGAAUCUACCCAGUGGUACGGAACAACCAAGGGAAACUUUGGCUAAUACCGUAUACGUCCUUCGGGAGAAAGAUUUAUCGCCAUUGGAUGAGCCCGCGUCGGAUUAGGUAGUUGGUGAGGUAAUGGCUCACCAAGCCUACGAUCCGUAGCUGGUCUGAGAGGAUGAUCAGCCACAUUGGGACUGAGACACGGCCCAAACUCCUACGGGAGGCAGCAGUGGGGAAUAUUGGACAAUGGGCGCAAGCCUGAUCCAGCCAUGCCGCGUGAGUGAUGAAGGCCUUAGGGUUGUAAAGCUCUUUUACCCGGGAUGAUAAUGACAGUACCGGGAGAAUAAGCCCCGGCUAACUCCGUGCCAGCCGCCGCCGUAAGAC